rnacentral:rRNA from 1 species
UACGUAGGUGGCAAGCGUUGUCCGGAUUUACUGGGCGUAAAGGGCUCGUAGGCGGCCAACUAAGUCGGAUGUGAAAUCCCCGGGCUCAACUUGGGAACUGCAUCCGAUACUGGAUGGCUUGAAUUCGGGAGAGGGAUGCAGAAUUCCAGGUGUAGCGGUGAAAUGCGUAGAUAUCUGGAGGAAUACCGGUGGCGAAGGCGGCAUCCUGGACCGACAUUGACGCUGAGGAGCGAAAGCUAGGGGAGCAAACGGG